UCUUCAGAGAGAACGAGCCGUGAAAUUCCCUGACUAAAUUCAGUUUUGAUCUUCGUUAUAUUCCUAUGAGUGUUUAAAGUUGUGUGCGUCCAGAGAGAAAACCACACACUCAUAUGCUGACACUCCUCAGGACAUACAGCAAAGACGAUACCACUUAGUACCCAUAUACAUGCUCAUCUUCGAUCUGUGCACAGAGAGCACUGUUUAAUACAGCUCAUUAGGAUCUGGCUCCCCCUCUUCAUAUGCUUGUAUAAAUAAAUCUGUUAAACUGGAUUCCUUCUCCGACUUUGGUGUUCUUACCGACACACCCGGACCAGCUUCACCUCAUUAGCAACAGCUAGCACCUUACAGUC